rnacentral:rRNA from 1 species
UACGAAGGGGGCUAGCGUUGUUCGGAAUUACUGGGCGUAAAGCGCGCGCAGGCGGUCUUCCAAGUCAGUGGUGAAAGCCCGGAGCUCCACUCCGGAACUGCCAUUGAAACUGUCAGACUUGAGGAUGAGAGAGGUGAGUGGAAUUCCCAGUGUAGAGGUGAAAUUCGUAGAUAUUGGGAAGAACACCGGUGGCGAAGGCGGCUCACUGGCUCAUUACUGACGCUCAGGCGCGAUAGCGUGGGGAUCAAACAGG